CAGAUUUUGGGAUAUUUACCACAUGCAUUAUAUCUUGGAGGAGAGAGGGCAACAGUAUGAAGAUAUGAGGGAAAGGUGGCCACCUGCAUGCCAAGGAGAGAGGCCUCAGACAACACCAACCUGCAGCACCCUGAUUGUGGACAUAAACCUUCCAAAACUGAGGAAAGAACUUCCCCUUAAGGCACCUGGUCAGCAGUAUGGCAGCCCUCGUCGACCAACACAUCUGCAUUCUCAGUAGACCCUUGCCUAAACCAUCAGGCACAGGACCCAGAAUGUAGUCAUCAUGGAGUCCUGACCUCUCCCCACCCAUACAUCUUAUUUACUCCAUUAGCAACUGACUGGACCUCCACACAGUCUCAUCUCUCUAACCCAGGCCCCUGUUCUGCUCUUCUGGGAACUGGCAUGUUAGCAUCCUCAAUUCCCUGCAUCCCUCCUCUGUUCCCCAAGGCUCCGCUUCAUCCAGCAUGUUCUGUGGUUGACUAUUUUAAAUACUGCAUGCAAGCCAGUGAUCCUGACCAACUGAGACCAGGAGUGGAUCAUGGCAUGAGGAUACUGUUGGAUGUAUGUGUAUGUGUCUU